UGCCCUUCACAGGUAUCUCCUGGAUAUGAACUGAAACCUGGGGAUGCUGUGAAUGGUUCUU
rnacentral:pre_miRNA from 1 species